rnacentral:snRNA from 1 species
AAUACAAAAAACAAUGAUAUAUU